rnacentral:misc_RNA from 1 species
GGCAAACUUCUUGUGUCCAUGCGUUAAUGGGAGGUUGAAAGAACAACCGAAAAUAAUAUAUCAUCACGCUCUUUUGUCCUCCUCAAGGACAACUUCUCCAAGACCAAACACAUGAUCUGCUGUAAUAGAUGCCUUCCUCUCCUUCCUAUCCAGUUUAGACAGAUCUCCUCCCACUAUAACAGUACUGCCGGUGAGGGACAGACCCUCCUCCUCGUCAUCAAGACCCUCCCCUGAGUAUGCGUAUCUGGUUGGGUUAUUCGAAGGAGCCCAGAGAAUGCAUAUUACCCAUAAAAUCAAGUAUGCUAGUAAGGUCCAGAAAGCAGGUAUAAUCCAGGCUCU